rnacentral:rRNA from 1 species
CCCUUAGAUGUUCUGGGCCGCACGCGCGCUACACUGAAGGGAUCAGCGUGUUUUCCCUUUCCGAGAGGAACGGGUAACCCGCUGAACCCCCUCCGUGGUAGGGAUCGGAGCUUGCAAUUGUUCUCCGUGAACCAGGAAUUCCCAGUAAGCGCAAGUCAUAAGCUUGCGUUGAUUACGUCCCUGCCCUUUGUACACACCGCCCGUCGCUACUACCGAUUGAACGUUUUAGUGAGGUAUUUGGACUGGGCCUUGGGAGGUUUCGGCCUCCCUUGUUGCUCGGAAAGACUCCCAAACUUGAGCGUUUAGAGGAAGUAAAAGUCGUAACA